rnacentral:rRNA from 1 species
UACGUAGGAUGCAAGCGUUGUCCGGAAUUAUUGGGCGUAAAGAGCGCGCAGGCGGCCCAUCAAGUCAGAUGUGAAAUAACCAGGCUUAACCUGGUGGGGUCAUUUGAAACUGGCGGGCUAGAGUCCAGCAGAGGAUAGCGGAAUUCCCGGUGUAGUGGUGAAAUGCGUAGAGAUCCGGAAGAACACCGGUGGCGAAGGCGGCCUGCUGGGCAGUUGCUGACACUGAGGCGCGACAGCGUGGGGAGCAAACAGG